UUAAAUGGCCGCAGUAUUUUACUGUGCAAGGUAGCAUAAUCAUUAGUCUUUUAAUUGAAGGCUUGUAUGAAUGGUUGGACGAAAUAUUAACUGUUUCAUAAAAAUUUAUUUAGAAUUUUAUUUUUUAGUUAAAAAGCUAAAAUUUUUUUAAAAGACGAGAAGACCCUAUAGAUCUUUAUAAUUUAUUUAUUAUAGUUAUAUAGAUUAUUUAAAUUAUGAUUUUAUAAGUUAUUUUGUUGGGGUGACAUUAAAAUUUAAUAAACUUUUAAUAAAUUUUUACAUUAAUUUAUGAGUAAUUGAUCCAUUAUUAGUGAUUAUAAAAUUAAGUUACCUUAGGG
rnacentral:rRNA from 1 species